CGGGUUUCUAAGCAGAUGGAGUGAACAGCUGACUGAGAAGCUCAAGCCUGAAGCAGGUGGCGGAUUCUCUUAGCAGCACCAAAUCACCCUGUCAGGCAGCCCAGCCAGGGCAGCUCAGGAGUGGGCCACAGAGCAGGACCUGCCAGGACGUCCAGAGAGUGUGGGUGGAAGCUGCUUCCCAGUGGAGCCUGGCCAGGGGGCGACUGCCAGACAGUGAGGCGGAUGAGUCAGCCCUGAAAGCGAUCCUGGCCAUGACCUAGUGGGAGAGGAGAGAACAGAAGGGGCAGUCAGGAACUGACAGGUGGGCUGUGCAACAGGAAGGGGUCACAGACCCAGCAGGUGGCAGGGCAGAUGGAGGAGAUCAAGG
rnacentral:lncRNA from 1 species